rfam:Candidate division WS6 bacterium 34_10 MPI_scaffold_1702, whole genome shotgun sequence.
GGAGAGGUGCCUGAGUGGUCGAAAGGAUACGCUUGGAAAGCGUACGUACGGGUCAAACUGUACCGCAGGUUCGAAUCCUGUCCUCUCCG